rnacentral:rRNA from 1 species
GACGAACGCUGGCGGCGUGCCUAAUACAUGCAAGUAGAACGCACAGUUUAUACCGUAGCUUGCUACACCAUAGACUGUGAGUUGCGAACGGGUGAGUAACGCGUAGGUAACCUGCCUAGUAGCGGGGGAUAACUAUUGGAAACGAUAGCUAAUACCGCAUAAUAUUAAUUAUUGCAUGAUAAUUGAUUGAAAGAUGCAACUGCAUCACUACCAGAUGGACCUGCGUUGUAUUAGCUAGUAGGUGAGGUAACGGCUCACCUAGGCGACGAUACAUAGCCGACCUGAGAGGGUGAUCGGCCACACUGGGACUGAGACACGGCCCAGACUCCUACGGGAGGCAGCAGUAGGGAAUCUUCGGCAAUGGACGAAAGUCUGACCGAGCAACGCCGCGUGAGUGAAGAAAGGGUUUUCGGAUCGUAAAAGCUUCUGUUGUAAAGAGAAAGAAACGGGUG